rnacentral:rRNA from 1 species
AUUGAACGCUGGCGGCAGGCCUAACACAUGCAAGUCGAACGAGUGGCGGACGGGUGAGUAAUGUCUGGGAAACUGCCCGAUGGAGGGGGAUAACUAUUGGAAACGAUAGCUAAUACCGCAUACUGUGAGAUGGACCUGCGUGGUAUUAGCUAGUUGGUGAGGUAAAGGCUCACCUAGGCGACGAUCCCUAGCUGGUCUGAGAGGAUGACCAGCCACACUGGAACUGAGACACGGUCCAGACUCCUACGGGAGGCAGCAGUGGGGAAUAUUGCACAAUGGGCGCAAGCCUGAUGCAGCCAUGCCGCGUGUAUGAAGAAGGCCUUCGGGUUGUAAAGUACUUUCAGCGAGGAGGCGUUACUCGCAGAAGAAGCACCGGCUAACUCCGUGCCAGCAGCCGCGGUAAUUC